rnacentral:snRNA from 1 species
ACAGAAAGAGCAGUGAGC